rnacentral:lncRNA from 10 species
GGCGGGCACUUGGAGCCCAGGGCAGGGUUCACAGAGCUAUUUUCAGUUCUCUUGCAGGAUCUCCUUCCCAGCCUUCAGAAAUUGCCGGUCUGGGAGUUGGGGGCAAGGAGAAGAUCCUGACAGGAACAUAAUCUCAUGCAAUUUAUUGCAGAAAAUGGUACAAAGUAAUUAGACCUUUACGAGAAGCACAGUUUUGUCUUCAGUUUCCUCUCCCCCCACCCGGAAUGGCCUGAGCCGAAGCCAGCUCCCUCCGAGAAGUCAUUACCGCCUGACUUGCGUUUGAUAUUUAGACACCUUGGUCACAACAUCUUGCAUUCUCUCGGGAUGCUGAUUUCUAACUGCUCUUUGGCCUUUCCUGCAUUGGUCCUCCUCAGGCAGGGGAUCCCUGCUCUUCUAUAUUAAUGCUGGCUCCCCGUCCCCUGUCCACCAUGAGUCAAAGCAAUGUGAGUCCCUCACCAGAUGCAACUGCCCAGUCUUGGACUUUCCAGUGACCAGAAUCAUGAGCCAAAUAAACCUCUUUUCUUUAUGAAUUACCCAGCCUCAAGUAUUCUGUUAUAGCA